UACGGAGGGUGCGAGCGUUAAUCGGAAUUACUGGGCGUAAAGGGCGCGUAGGCGGUGAAGUAAGUCGGGUGUGAAAGCCCCGGGCUCAACCUGGGAACUGCCUCCGAUACUGCUUCGCUAGAGUAUGGUAGAGGGAAGCGGAAUUCCGGGUGUAGCGGUGAAAUGCGUAGAUAUCCGGAGGAACACCAGUGGCGAAGGCGGCUUCCUGGACCAAUACUGACGCUGAGGCGCGAAAGCGUGGGGAUCAAACAGG
rnacentral:rRNA from 1 species